UGAGGAAUAUUGGUCAAUGGGCGCAGGCCUGAACCAGCCAAGUAGCGUGAAGGAUGACUGCCCUAUGGGUUGUAAACUUCUUUUAUAUGGGAAUAAAGUUUUCCACGUGUGGAAUUUGUAUGUACCAUAUGAAUAAGGAUCGGCUAACUCCGUGCC
rnacentral:rRNA from 1 species